CCUACGGGAGGCAGCAGUAGGGAAUCUUUCACAAUGGGCGAAAGCCUGAUGGAGCAACGCCGCGUGCAGGAUGAAGGCCUUCGGGUUGUAAACUGCUUUUAUAAGCGAGAAAUAUGAUGGUAACUUAUGAAUAAGGAUCGGCUAACUACGUGCCAGCAGCCGCGGUCAUACGUAGGAUCCGAGCAUUAUCCGGAGUGACUGGGUGUAAAGAGUUGCGUAGGUGGCAUAAUAAGUAGCUAGUGAAAUCUGGUGGCUCAACCAUUCAGACUAUUAGCUAAACUGUUAAGCUCGAGACCGUUAGGGGUAAGUGGAAUUUCUGGUGUAGGAGUGAAAUCCGUAGAUAUUAGAAGGAACACCAAUAGCGUAGGCAGGUUGCUGGGACGGUUCUGACACUAAGGCACGAAAGCGUAGGGAGCAAACGGGAUUAGAUACCCCGGUAGUC
rnacentral:rRNA from 1 species